rnacentral:rRNA from 1 species
UACGUAGGGGGCUAGCGUUGUCCGGAAUCAUUGGGCGUAAAGCGCGUGUAGGCGGUCCGGUAAGUCCGCUGUGAAAGUCGGGGGCUCAACCCUCGAAUGCCGGUGGAUACUGUCGGGCUAGAGUGCGGAAGAGGCGAGUGGAAUUCCUGGUGUAGCGGUGAAAUGCGCAGAUAUCAGGAGGAACACCAAUUGCGAAGGCAGCUUACUACCCGAAUAUUGACACUGAGGCACGAAAGCGUGGGGAUCAAACAGG